UACAGAGGGGGCAAGCGUUGUUCGGAAUUACUGGGCGUAAAGGGCGCGUAGGCGGCCUUCUAAGUCGAACGUGAAAUCCCUGGGCUCAACCCAGGAACUGCGUCCGAUACUGAAAGGCUUGAAUCCGGGAGAGGGAUGCGGAAUUCCAGGUGUAGCGGUGAAAUGCGUAGAUAUCUGGAGGAACACCGGUGGCGAAGGCGGCAUCCUGGACCGACACUGACACUGAGGAGCGAAAGCCAGGGGAGCAAACGGG
rnacentral:rRNA from 1 species